rnacentral:misc_RNA from 1 species
AAGUCGUAACAAGGUUUCCGUAGGUGAACCUGCGGAAGGAUCAUUAAUAAAUACGUUGAUACACACUGUGUACACAUCGUCUUCAUUCACUCUGAGUACCUCUCCUGUUGCCUCCGUGUGGCUGGCUGCCUUACAGGUAUAGCUCCUUCCCUAUCUCGGAAUCGCGAUCCGGUAGGGGAGACCGCACGGCAGGGAAACCCCCAACCUCUCUGUUUAUCAAUCGUUUCUGUCUGAACUGAUUAAAAGAAAUAUUAAAACUUUCAGCAACGGAUCUCUUGGUUCUC